UACGUAGGGCGCAAGCGUUAUCCGGAAUUAUUGGGCGUAAAGAGCUCGUAGGCGGUCUGUCGCGUCUGCUGUGAAAACUCGGGGCUUAACCCCGGGCCUGCAGUGGGUACGGGCAGACUAGAGUGCGGUAGGGGAGAUUGGAACUCCUGGUGUAGCGGUGGAAUGCGCAGAUAUCAGGAAGAACACCGAUGGCGAAGGCAGAUCUCUGGGCCGUAACUGACGCUGAGGAGCGAAAGCAUGGGGAGCGAACAGG
rnacentral:rRNA from 1 species